rnacentral:lncRNA from 1 species
CCCGCCAGGCUCAGAAGACUUAUGUCAGGAAUGGCUCCAGGAGUUCUGGUGGCAGUCUCCCCUGCUAGCACUGGACCAGUAAAGAAGGUGCAUCCAUGGAGUAAGGCUAAGGAGAUUAUAAACUCAUCAGCCAGAUAGGGAGCGUAUUGUCUUCCAUGGUUGUAGCCUAAUAUACUACAUAUAAUGCAGUGUACACACGUUUGAAGAAUGUUGCUUUUACACACAUCAUGGCUGGCUCCAGGCAGUAUUCCUUUGAAAUGGGUUUCUGAGUUGGAUAAUAAACACUCGGACUGGAG